UCUGUAGGAGAAAUGUUUGGCAGACCAAAACACCUAGGAGUUGAAACCGGAUUGUUACGUUUCACCAAGCAGGAUAUUUCUAAGAGAUUGAUGACGUUAGCACACGGCUGACCAAUCAGAUCUCUAGUAAAGAUCCCUGUAUCAAGAGGAAUGUGAUUCGCUCAGUUGCUGAUGAUGUCAGUAAGGAAAUGGCUACUCGACUAUCUUGGAGAACAAAUUCUCAGUAAGUUGCUUUUUCGCGCUUGUUUCAAUGGCUGAAGUUUACACUAUAAAUAGAAGACACUUUCCAGUAGCACUCAAUGUAUCCGUCACCCGGCCAGAAACAUUGCUGCAAUGUUUAGGGCAACACGACGACAAUAACGGCAAUGUGGCUGUAGCAUCAACAUCAGUCCAUAAUGAUGAUGAUGAUGGUGAUGAUGAUGAUGAUGAUGACAACGACGACACAGCUAAACCACCUAAAUGCUAGAAUCUACAAAAUUGUUCCAGUGGUGACAUACGCCUCUCAAGCCACUACACAAGCUCCUCUCAUUCUGUCAUUCUCGGUCGUAAUAGUAUCUCAUACAAAUCGUUGGACUAUUUAAUUGCUGUAUUUUCUGCCGUUACUAGUAACAACAAUACAUAAAUUUUGUUGGCGAUAAAAAUAUUUUUGUAUUUAGUAUCUCAAACGAAAUUUGUGUUCUUGCCUUCAUCGACAUCCAUUCAGUCCAGUCAAAUCUUUUCACGACCAAAACAGAAAUAUUCUUGUCAUAGUUCUUUCCAGCUUCUAUGACUGGAGUUGUACUACAGUGCCAGCUGCUCACUACCAGUGAACUAAGAGCAGGAUUAAGGAAACGAGAGAGAGGAAGGAAGAAAAAGAUACAGCAUCUCACACAACUUGUCUCACGAUUGAGCUACAACGAAUGACUAAAGAAUACCACCAAGACAUUCUCAAAAGCAAAAUGAAAACUAAGUUUUUACAAAAUCUUAAACCAUUGCCAACAGCUAAAUUUUAUAAACUAAGAAGUAAUUUAUAUAAAGAUUCAUAUAAGGAAAUCGAAUGAAGACGUGAAAUGCAAUAAGGUACAGUAAAUGAAUUUCAGAAUUCGAUGAUCCCAAUCAGGAAGCAGGACAGCAAAUACGAGUCGACCAGUUUGAGACAGGAAAGGCUUGAUAAUAUUCACACUCUCGAGGAACACAUUAAGUACAAUACGACUCUUCUCAUAGAUCAGACCCGAGAUACAUUUGGUGCCAACAUGAAAAUCAAAGCAUCAUAUUAUCAAUUUGAUCAUGUCUUCUAUGUUGUCAGCUAGUAUUUUGUUUGGCUUCUCCCUUGCUACCGAUUAUGAUGAUCAGGAGACGAGUGGUAUAAAAAAAAUACGAACAGAUGGAUAACACUAAACAAAUAUGGAAAACAAGUUAUACGAUCGCAAUUUACCAAAGCAAAACACAAAUUUUAUAAACCUUUUUAUAUUUCUUAAAAACAUUCUGAAGGUUCAUUUGCUCCAUUCGUGUUCAAAUGCAGAUAUUCAUUUUUUCUUUUCAAAUAUAUAAAAUAAAUCUUUUUUACAUAUAAUAAGUUUAAGAAUAAUAAACUUUUGCUGCUUAAUUCCAUUAAUUUAUUCAAUUUUAAUAUAUUCUUAAAUCGCUUUGAAAUUUCUUAGUUAUUUAUGGUUUUAGAUAAUUAAUUAGACAAGCAUAAAUAUUAAUUUGAUAUAAAGUAGGAAUUUGCUACUUGCAUUUACAAAGCUAUCAAUGUCCCAAGAUUUGUAGGUGAUCACCUUCACCUUUGAAUUCGAACUCUUUUUACUCCAUAAGCUUUUUUAUUUUUAUUUUUUUAUGCUUUUUUACGGAGUUUUUAGAAUUAGAGCCCUCACAUUAAGGAAGGAGUGCUGAAAAGUUCCUGGUUUUGAGUAAAAGAAUCAGAGGAUUAAUUAAUUAAUUAUGAUUUUAUUCAACACAUCUCAGAC